rnacentral:rRNA from 1 species
CACCAGACUCCUACGGGAGGCAGCAGUGGGGAAUUUUGCGCAAUGGGGGAAACCCUGACGCAGCAACGCCGCGUGCGGGACGAAGGCCCUCGGGUCGUAAACCGCUUUCAGCAGGGAAGACCACGACGGUACCUGACUAAGAAGCCCCGGCUAACUCCGUGCCAGCAGCCGCGGUAAUACGGAGGAUGCGAGCGUUAUCCGGAUUUAUUGGGUUUAAAGGGUGCGUAGGCGGUUUUUUAAGUUAGUGGUUAAACGUCGGGGCUUCACCUUGAUUUGCCAUUAAUACUGUAAGACUCGAGUUCAGACGAGGUAGGCGGAAUAAGUUAAGUAGCGGUGAAAUGCUUAGAUAUAACUUAGAACUCCGAUAGCGAAGGCAACUUACCAGACUGCGACUGACGCUGAAGCACGAGAGCGUGGGUAGCGAACAGGAUUAGAUACCCCAGUAAC